UAUGGUACUUUUUUUCCCUCCUCCUCUUUCCUCCUUCCUUUCCUUUCUUUCUCCUUCUUUCUUUUUUUUCCCUUUCUCUUCUUCCUUCUCUUCAUCUUUUUUUGAAAUGUAGACGCUCAACGUCUGCACUGCAGCGCGAACUGGUUUCCUUGAGUACGCACAAAGUGGGCGGAAUUCGUGGUGUAGCGGUGAAAUGCUUAGAUAUCACGAAGAACUCCGAUUGCGAAGGCAGCUCACUGGAGCGCAACUGACGCUGAAGCUCGAAAGUGCGGGUAUCGAACAGG
rnacentral:rRNA from 1 species